UCAACGUAUCCUCGAGACGCGAAUAAUUCCCCGAAAGGGGUUGUAAUGCGCGAUGAGACCACAGUUCCCACGGGAAUCGGGGUCAAAGGUUCGGGAUCCUUCGGGACCGAGCGGCUCGCUGAGCGGACGACCUCCGAUUAGCUAGAUGGCGGGGUAAUGGCCCACCAUGGCGAUGAUCGGUAGCCGGCCUGAGAGGGUGUUCGGCCACACUGGGACUGAGACACUGCCCAG
rnacentral:rRNA from 1 species